rnacentral:lncRNA from 1 species
UAGAUCGAUCAUCGACCAUGCAUGCAUGCACCGUGCCGUGCGUGCAUCAUCGAUCAUAUCGAUCUACUACUACCUUACCAUGUAACCGCAACCUGAUCGAGGGCCUUUAUGUACGCACCUGACCUGCAUCAGCAGUCAGGUGCCAUGCCAUGAUUGUAAACAGGCCCCCCUAAAUAAAAUCUCCCCUGAUUAACUAUACAUGUGUCGUCUGUGGUAUGCAUAUAUCAUCACCUUCUUUUUCUUCUUCCUCAUGGCACAAAAAACACUGCCUAAGAGUUGAGAGCGCUGAGUAUAUUACUAGAAAUGAUCAUAAGCAAAAGAUUU